GCCGCUUUAGCUCAGUGGCAAAGCGCUGGUCUUGUAAACCAGCGGUCGUGAGUUCGAUCCUCACUGGCGGCU
rnacentral:tRNA from 1 species